GGGAAUGUCAACAACACCUUUACUGUGUUUCGUUUUCCUACAAUAACGAUCACACGUGCUGUCUGCAUUCUGUGAAAUUUGCGAACGCCAGUUAUCUCCCUUCGUUAGGAUGGCGUUACUACUAUUCCGAUCCAGGCGACUGUCCAGUCGAAGAUGGCUAUGUGCAGAUUGACAGCCUGAACUUAUGUAUUAAGGUGUCUACGGACAAGAAAUCGUUCGAUGAAGCACGUGAAAUUUGCAGACAGUCAUAUGCCAGACUGAUUGUGUCAGACUCGGAGGAGAAACAUUCAGCUGUCAGCAACUAUAUCACGGCAAGCCCAGACGUCUACUACAUUGGCCUGAGCUACGUGGUCACCGAGGGCGUGUUUGUGUGGGAGGACGGGAAGACCGCUGUGUUCACGGUUUGGGAUGACGGGGAACCGAACAACGCUGGUGUCGGUCAGAACUGCGUGAUCCUGACAGUGACACCGUGGAAGAGCGCGUGGUUCGACACCUCCUGCAACGCCAAAUACCACUAUAUCUGCGAAAAACAGCCAUAGAGGGCACGACUGACAUUUGCCGACUUAAUACCCUAUUUGUGGUGAUAGUUGAGUUUUUAACCAAACAAAUAUAUACAUAAAACAUU